UUACCGGGGAUCACUGGUGUCUCUGAGCGAAAUCCAGGAGGAGCAGAGGAAAUUGAGGCGCUACCGGCCCCUGAGGAACAGCUGUCCCCCGAUGGCCCUCCCUCUCACCAAGUCUGUGUCCAUGCUGGCCAUCAGCCAGAGAGACCUCGAUGGUAUGAGGUCGUUUUCCAGCGCCUCUGGGUCACUAGCAUACAGUAUAUCAGAGGAGGAGCCUGGCCCUCUGCGCAGCGACGCUGAUGGAAAGAGUACGACGAAAGUCAGCCGGACGUUCAGCUACCUCAAGAACAAGAUGUACAAGAAGA